rnacentral:rRNA from 1 species
AUGCCUACGGGGCGCAGCAGUGAGGAAUAUUGGUCAAUGGGAGAGAUCCUGAACCAGCCAAGCCGCGUGAGGGAAGACGGCCCUAUGGGUUGUAAACCUCUUUUGUCGGAGAACAAAACCCGGGACGUGUCCCGGACUGCGUGUAUCCGAAGAAAAAGCAUCGGCUAACUCCGUGCCAGCAGCCGCGGUAAUACGGAGGAUGCGAGCGUUAUCCGGAUUUAUUGGGUUUAAAGGGUGCGUAGGCGGACUGUCAAGUCAGCGGUAAAAUUGAGAGGCUCAACCUCUUCCCGCCGUUGAAACUGGUG